rnacentral:rRNA from 1 species
GCUACCGCUUUUGGAUGGGCCCGCGGCGCAUUAGCUAGUUGGUGGGGUAAAGGCUUACCAAGGCAAUGAUGCGUAGCCGAACUGAGAGGUUGAUCGGCCACAUUGGGACUGAGACACGGCCCAAACUCCUACGGGAGGCAGCAGUAGGGAAUCUUCCACAAUGGGCGAAAGCCUGAUGGAGCAACGCCGCGUGGGUGAAGAAGGUCUUCGGAUCGUAAAACCCUGUUGUUAGAGAAGAAAGUGCGUGAGAGUAACUGUUCACGUUUCGACGGUAUCUAACCAGAAAGCCACGGCUAACUACGUGCCAGCAGCCGCGGUAAUACGUAGGUGGCAAGCGUUAUCCGGAUUUAUUGGGCGUAAAGGGAACGCAGGCGGUCUUUUAAGUCUGAUGUGAAAGCCUUCGGCUUAACCGGAGUAGUGCAUUGGAAACUGGGAGACUUGAGUGCAGAAGAGGAGAGUGGAACUCCAUGUGUAGCGGUGAAAUGCGUAGAUAUAUGGAAGAACACCAGUGGCGAAAGCGGCUCUCUGGUCUGUAACUGACGCUGAGGUUCGAAAGCGUGGGUAGCAAACAGGAUUAGAUACCCUGGUAGUCCACGCCGUAAACGAUGAAUGCUAAGUGUUGGAGGGUUUCCG